GGCCUCUCAAGGUGCUGGGAUUACAGGUGUGAGCCGCCGCGCCCGGCCUCUUUGCUCUUUUAUACUCUCAGAAGCAAUGAGUUCUGGUUAAAAAAAAGGGCUCGAUAGACGGAAAAAAUGAAGGCUUAAAGAACUGACAACAAAAUAUUAACAUUUGGCUUGUGGAAUUCUUACACUCUCGUAAGCAGAAAAAACAAAUGUUAUGGCAAAAAAGUGUCUCAGACAAAUCCGUCUUGGGGGGAAAAAAAUUAAAAGAAUGAGAAAAACAGACUUCGGAAUAAAUAGACCCAAAGGAGGAAGUAUUGAAAAUGGCAAGAUUCACUUUUACAAACUUAUUUGGAACCACGGCAGAUGGCCAGGGCAGGGAUUUUGCAAGGCAGCUCCAGUUGAGCAGUUGAUUUCUCACCGCCCACCCCCGACCCCACCACUAUUGAUCAUGAGGUGCUUUGAGGGGUCCGGGUUUGGAGGACUGAAACACCGUGGGAUCUUGGAACAGCUCUUCCUUGUUGGUGAUCCCUUAUUAAGAAGCCCUCCAGCCUGACAAUGCUGAAGCCCUGGAGGUUGGAGCCACUCAGAAGAGGAAACCAGAGCACAGAAAGGUUAAGUGAAAUGCCCGAAGUCACACAACUGAUAAAUGGUCAAAUUGGGAUCCAAGCCCAGGCAGCUCUGAGUCAUUGACAUUACUCUGUCCUAGAAGGCACUCGACAGAAAGGGGGUUUGUGCUUCCUCCAUCCCACCCAGCUUCUGAAUGGUCCAGGCCCCUGACUGCAUUGCCACGAAAAGGCCUCAGAAAAAUGUCUGUGCAUGCAUCAAGACUGCAAGCCAGAUCCAAAAUGUAUCAGGUCUCCUUUAUGGGGAAUAGUGAGAAGCAAAUGGAAAUAGAUUGUCUUCCUGCUUGGGACUG
rnacentral:lncRNA from 1 species